rnacentral:rRNA from 1 species
UACGUAGGGCGCAAGCGUUGUCCGGAAUUAUUGGGCGUAAAGAGCUCGUAGGCGGUUUGUCGCGUCUGCCGUGAAAGUCCGGGGCUCAACCCCGGGCCUGCAUUCGAUACGGGCAGACUAGAGUUCGGUAGGGGAGUCUGGAAUUCCUGGUGUAGCGGUGAAAUGCGCAGAUAUCAGGAGGAACACCGGUGGCGAAGGCGGGACUCUGGGCCGAUACUGACGCUGAGGACGAAAGCGUGGGGAGCGAACAGG